rnacentral:pre_miRNA from 1 species
AACAUACUUCCUCUGUCCCAUAUUAAGUGUCGAAAUAUUACAUGUAUUUAGAUACUUUUUAGAUAUAGAUGCAUCCAUAUUUGGACAAAUUUGAGGCACUUAAUAUGUGACGGAUGGAGUAUUAU